ACAAGUUGUAAAAGAAUACUUCUGUAUGCUUCAGGAAUCAUAUCUCCCUCUGAAAACUAAUAGCCUGACAGUGAUCUGUAACUAUACUCCAUACUAAAUGUGAUGUACAAUGCUUUGUUGGUAUUAAACCUGUAUAUAUUAGAUGAAAUAUUUCAGGUAAUGAUUUCAAAUUGAAAAGUAAGAAACUCUGCCACCAAAUCAUUAAAACAUCUUUCUGUCAA
rnacentral:lncRNA from 1 species